UGGGGAAUAUUGGGCAAUGGGCGAAAGCCUGACCCAGCAACGCCGCGUGAGUGAUGAAGGCCUUCGGGUUGUAAAACUCUUUGGACAGGGACGAAGAAAGUGACGGUACCUGUAGAACAAGCCACGGCUAACUACGUGCCAGCAGCCGCGGUAAUACGUAGGUGGCGAGCGUUAUCCGGAUUUACUGGGCGUAAAGGGCGUGUAGGCGGCUAGAUAAGUGUGAUGUUUAAAUCCAAGGCUUAACCUUGGGGUUCAUUACAAACUGUUUAGCUUGAGUGCGGGAGAGGAUAGUGGAAUUCCUAGUGUAGCGGUAAAAUGCGUAGAUAUUGGGAGGAACACCAGUAGCGAAGGCGGCUUUCUGGACUGCAACUGACACUGAGGAACGAAAGCGUGGGUAGCAAACAGG
rnacentral:rRNA from 1 species